AAAGAAUUUUCUGCACGGAGGUGGUACUUCUUCUGCAGAGGUUCGUUUUGGAGCUAGCACGCCCCGACGCCGCGCCGCCGCACCCGCUCCGAUGUGUGAAAUUAAGAGAUGUGAUGCUGAUGAGCAGUACUUGGUACCAUCUAUGAGUGGCACGGCAUAAAUACAAGAAGAUGGAAGUGAAGAGGUAGAGAAUGAAGAUACCAUGAAUGUCAUUCGUGAUAAGAUCGCUGAUGAUUUGAGGUGCACAUAAGCAGCUCAUGACUAAAUCUGUGGGAGGAGAAACAAGGGAAAUCCAGAUGGUUAUCUGUUGAUGGAAGGUUCUUUCAAGGCCUAUACUUUAUGCCCGUACUGUCUAUGCCUCUAAAUUUCACAAGCUAGCAGUUUACAUAACUUGGGCAUAUGUACAUGAUCAUCUAUGGUCACUGUUUAUUUUUUAAAUGCUUUUGAACAUCUGCUGCAAAUGCUUGUGAUGAGCAUACAUGCAUGAACAACUGUUGUAAUUUGUUAGAUGUGCCAUCUCAGGGUGACUGAACAACUGUCGCUACGGUUGCCGCCUGUUAUUGGGGUUCAGAUAGUGAUAGGUUACUGAAGGUUGUGUUUUACAUGUUGAACCUGUGCCACCAAAGGUUGCAAAUUGAGUGCAUAAUUGGUCUGCAGGUUGUAGCUUUAAGAUAGUCGUGAUAUUUCACAGUUUUGUAGAACAAUGCAACAAUUUGAUGUAUUUUAGAUUUGGUCGAUUAAUAAUGGAUAUAGUUUGCAAGUGGUUUAGUGAAAUGUUUUAUCAAUAACAAUGGUAUGCACGUGAAUGGCCCCUUUCAUUUGGGGGUAAUGUAGUGUUACAAUGUACAAACUGUAGACGGACCAUAUAUGUUUAUAAUGGCCCUUUUUCAUUUGAUGUUUAUGUGGUAUCUAGGAGAUUGCCUAUUACUAUAAUUAUGCAUGGCUGCUUCUGGACCUUGUAAUUAGUUUCUCCCGCAAGCUCUUGUUCAUAAAUUGUAUCUUGCUUGCUGCCAUUGUUUUGUUAUAACUUGUGGUUGAAAUUCCAUCAUCUGGAUACAUGAUUAACAAGAAAAGACUACUUUCUGUUCAGUUGUACUUCUCAAAGAAGUGCAGGUAAAUAGACAGCUCUUUUCAUUUUCUUGAUGAGUUACUCACAUUUGCAAGCAUCACCAUGAGUCAAAUGUUGUAUUUUGUUAACUAUAGGUUCUGAACAUUUGAUUGGAGUAUUUUAGAAAAUGCAGUACUGUUAUGAACAAUUAGGAGUUCCAGACAUCUCGCUUUUUCUGUUAUGUUUUCUAACAUGCCUUGUUAUGCAGUCACAUACAAUAUUUCAGUUCUACUGUCUAUAUGCUACGACUUAUCCUUAGUUUUCCCCACUUUGGCCAGAUGAUAACAUCCUUUUUGUCCCAGAAAAUUAUGUUGGGAUCCCAAGCAGUGAAGGAAGUCCAAGCUAUAUCAGACUUCUUUCUUCUUCCUUUUCAGCUGCAUUUGUUAGGAAGGUUGUAACAUCUAUAGAAUGUAUGUAAUGAAGCAUGUGUAUCUAUGAUGUAUAUGAGGUAUAUUUG